UUGAGUCAUUUCUCAUCAGGGUUAGGCGGUUAGCUUGGUCCUUGCCGCCGCCGCGAGGGAUACGGGAUACCUCUCCUUCGCCGCCGACGAGCUCCCCGUCCUCUCCGGCAAGACUCCAUUGCAAGCCUUUGAAGCCUUCUUCGCAAGCUUCCGCGAUUCCUUCUCCGAUCUCUUCGGUUCCAUCAUGUCAUCACGGAUUUCAGGAUUUCAGGAUGUGAUGAUGACCGGACGGAGAGCUCCUGUACCCAUCGAUCCUGGCGAAGGAUACUAGAUCGAAGACAGCCAGCUCGUGUCCAAGGUGUUCGACGUUUUGCCUGCGAGAAUCUCCCAUAAUUGAAACUCUGGCGAAUGAGCUAAUCCAAAGGGGCUUUGCUGCCUUUCACAUCAGUCAAACACAUCAGUUUUGGCUUGUCUUGGUGUGCAACGGGGACAUGUUCGGGUUGAACACUUUGGCCUGAAGGUGACAAAAUUCAUUAGUGCGCAUGAGUCCAGCAUUGCCUGCUUGACCUUGACAAUGGAUGGUCUUCUUCUUGCAACUGUAAGUGUGAAGGAGACUUUAAUUAGGAUAUUUAACACUAUGGAUGGAACCCGUCUCAAGAGGUAAUGCUUGUGAUCUCAAUUGAAAUGACUUGUCUCAAAGAGAAGCUGUUUUCUCUGUGCAUUUUGAUGGUAGAAUUUUAAAUUGUUUUUCUGUAGAUAUUAACAGAGUUGGUGAUAUCCCGUGAGCAUGUUUGUUUCCUGAAAAUGAAUAUCAGGUUCUCAGUUAUGUGCUGUCUUGUCUUCUUACAUAAUGUAAUGAAUAGUUAUGUUAUAGGUGCGUAGAGGAGUGGACAAAGCUGAAAUCUAUAGCAUUUCAUGGUUGUUAAUGGUGAUUGAGGGUUUGAAGAGGAAGAGGAUGAGAGUGAGGAUGAAGGAGUUGGUGAUGACUGAUGAGAAUGAAGAGCCAGAGCUCCAUUGUUGCUGCUGUUUUUUCUUCUUGUUGUUGUUGGCAUGACUUUUCUUUGAUUUAUUUAGAGUUCAUCCCCAUGGUUUUUUCUUCUUCUUGUUGCCUUAUGUAUGAAUUUUGUUUAAUCCAUCGCGUUGGACCGUUUGUAUUGAUUUUACUCAAUUUUGUGUCCUUAGAUUUGUAUUAAUAAAUCUCAUGCUCUCUUGAUUCUGUAAACUCUUCAUCUUUAUGAGACAUUGAGACCCAAGUUCUUUUUUUUAA